CGCAGCCUGACUGCCUCCGACUGCGGGGCCUCCCUGUCCUACAAGUCCCUCCCCACCCCUCUACUUGGGACCUGGCUUCUACCAUCACUCUCUGUGACUUCAGCAUUCUACCUGCAUGACCUAUGCAGCACCUGGCCUCUGUUAGCUUGCCACCUUCACCGACAUCUUCUCUGCUGAGGCCUCCCACCAUGCCCUUUACUUUCUCACCGCCAGAAAUAGCCCCAGCUCUGAAAUGUGUUUUAAGCAUCCCACUUGGGGUCCACCAGCUCCUGACCUUUGAGCUUAGGCCUCUCCUCCAGGACCCUCUCUGACUACGAUUUCCCAACCCCUCUCGACCCUCCAUUCACUGGCCUUGACACUUUCUUGCCUCCAUCCUGCACCUCUCCCCAUCCCCUCGUGAACACUGCCACCCCUCCUGGCAGAGACUCAGUACUUCCACUCUCUGAAUGCAUUUCUUCUUCCUAGGCACACCAGAAGACCACAUUUCCUAGCCCCCCACCCUCCUGCAGUGGCUGGGACCAUGUGACUCCUUAAUUAGGUCACUUCUCUCUCCUGGGAGGUCCUCUCUGUCCUCUCUAUGUCUAAUUAGUGGCAAAGGAUCUAAGGGAAGAAGGCUGGCAGAGUUACUAGUCCCAAGAAGCCUGGGUCCCUGAAUCACCACAUGGAAGUCUACGUGCCCACCAUCUGAAUGGACUAAGGCAUCAACAGAAGUAAUACACACCCCUGUAGGGCCGAGGAGGUGAAACAGCUGGUACGCCUUCCCCACACUCUCCUUUGCUUCCAUGGUGACCUAGGAAGCUGCAGGAUGAAGAUAACAGCAUCACAAGGAGGGAGCGCAGGAUCCCUGUGUUACCACAAGGAGGAGGGAUGCCUAACCAAGACCAUCUGCAAGGAUUUUGUGUGAGCCAGAAGCAGAGCUGUGUGGUGUUCAGUCGCUGAGAUUCAAGGGCUGUUUGUUACCACAGUUGACCUAUCCUGACUGACACAUCACGUUGUUCCUUUCCCCACCAUGUGUGUAACAUGCUACCAAAUUGAAUUUUAAAUAAAUUAGUACUUAUAAAUUAA